rnacentral:rRNA from 1 species
AGUAAUCGCGGAUCAGCAUGCCGCGGUGAAUACGUUCCCGGGCCUUGUACACACCGCCCGUCACACCAUGGGAGUUGGCUCGACCCGAAGACGGUGCGCUAACCCCGCCUCCUAAUCGCUCAUGGAGCUUCGUAUUAUGCACUGUGUUUACGUUCUUCAUGGAUCUGAUGGUCGCUUCUACAUUGGCUAUUCGGCAAAUUUGCGGGCCAGAGUGGCGGCGCAUCAGGAAGGGCGAUCACGGGCUACGCGCGGUCGGCGUUGGAGACUGGUCUACUAUGAGGCCUAUCUUGAUGCGGCGACGGCGCGCAAACGUGAGCGGCAGCUCAAGCGUAGCGGCGUUGCCCGACGUGCGGUCAUGGCCCGCAUCAGGGCGUCGCUGGAAUCGGAGCGAUUAGGUGGCGGGGAGGCAGCCGGCCACGGUCGGGUCAGCGACUGGGGUGAAGUCGUAACAAGGUAGCCGUAGGGGAACCUGCGGCUGGAUCACCUCCUUUCUAA